GUAACGUCGAUAAUAACAAUUCAAAAUUUAGCGGUCGAAUCAUGCCGAAGGACGAUGGCGCUUUCAUAGAGCGAACUUCAAGCCACGGACGCAACGUUAGCGCCACGAGAGUCGUGUUUACAGAUUCGCCAGUGAGUUCCAUAACGUCACGUCAAAAAGUGCAAGAGACAAAUUUCUAUUACCCUUUACUAUGUAAAGGUGCGUUCUCGACACGAAAGAGAAACGGAAAAAUACCCUCGUUCGGUCGACGAUAAUCGCGCUAAAAAUCUACGUGAUAUCGUGUUUUCGGGACGACGACGUAAAAUAAAAUACGCGCCUCUUUCGUUAAUACCGUAGUGGUAAUCGUUAGGAUGGUAGCCAUUUUGUCCGGAGGUGGCCCGGCCGAGUGAACGGGCGAAAAUAGGUGCUCCCUGGAGCGGGAGAUAAUGUAGGUAUUCUUUAUCGAAACAAGGCCUUUAGGAUAUAAUUAUAUUUAAUGUCAGUACAUGAAUCGAGUGCUUGUUAUUGGUGGUGCAAUCGUUGGACCAAGAAUUACUAAAAGAAUUGGAGCCUAGUGAACAGCUAGAAAAUGACGAUUGCUACAAGGGGCCAGGGGGUAGGAAUAGAUCCUCCCGAUAGCCAGCAGAGUUCACAGAUGCAUAGUCCACCUGGUUCACAACAAUUAGCUGAUUCAAUGUCAGGUCUUCACCUCGCAGAAAAUGUGGUACAAACUGAGUGUGUCAACGAUACUAUAACUUCUGUAGAUGACAGUAAUCAGCACCUUAGAGAACCUGAUUUUCCUAUCUCUAAACUUAACAUUCUUCAUGAAAAAAUAUCUAGUUCACGAUGGGUCGUCCCAGUCCUACCUGAACAAGAAUUAGAGUGCCUCUUACAAGCUAGCAUUGAGCUUUGUAAAAAGGGAAUUGAUGUACAAAGCGAAGCGUGUCAGCGUUUCUUUCGUGAAGGGCUUACAAUUUCUUUUACCAAAAUAUUGACGGACGAUGCGGUGAAUAGUUGGAAAUCGCACAUUCACAACUAUAUCAAUGCAAAUUGUGAACAUUUAGUGGAACUCUGUGUUUUGAAAUUAGAUGAGGAUUGGUUUCCAUUACUUGAUUUAUUGGCAAUGGUUUUUGAUCCCAGUAAUAAAUUUCAUACAUUUAAUGCAGCAAGAGCAUCCGAAACUGUUCCUCCUGGAUGUAAUAUUCCAGAUGAGGAACUUUACGCACGUCCACCCAUUGAGUCAAGAACACCUCGUGGAUGGCUUGUAGAUCUAAUAAAUAGAUUUGGAAGAUUAAAGGGAUUUGAAAUUCUUCUCUCAAGAUUUCAGAGUCGUCGUAAUUUAACUGUACCAGUAAUCUAUGCCCUGAUUAGGCCUUUUGGUUUAUGUUAUGAAUUAUUGACUGUCCAUACAAUAAUAAAAUACCUUAUGCCUAUUGUGGAAAUGAUACCUGUUAUUUUGGACAACUUAACUGAUGAUGAAUUAAAGAAAGAGGCAAAAAAUGAAGCAAAAAAUGAUGCCAUAUCAGCCAUAAUUAAAGCUGCAAAAUGUUUGGUAUCAAGAGUACCUCAUCAAGAAGAAAUGAUUAAAAACCUGGAAAUACUGAGAUUAAAAAUGAUAUUGAGACUAUUACAAAUAUCUUCCUUUAAUGGAAAAAUGAAUGCUUUAAACGAAGUAAAUAAGGUUAUUACAAGUGUGAAUUAUUAUCAGCAUCGUAAUACAGCUGUAGAGGAGGAAGAAUGGUUGACUGCUGAACGUAUGGCAAAAUGGAUUAAAGAUAACGGAGUAUUGGAAAUAGUUUUGAGAGAUUCGUUACAUCAACCACAAUAUGUAGAAAAAUUGGAAAAAAUUUUACGAUUUAUUAUAAAAGUACGUGCCCUCACAUUAGAAGACUUAGAUAACAUAUGGGCAGCUCAAGCCGGUAAACAUGAAGCUAUUGUAAAGAAUGUUCAUGAUUUGUUGGCUAAAUUAGCUUGGGAUUUUAGUCCUGAACAACUCGACCAUCUGUUCGAAUGCUUUCAGGCAAGUUGGAAAACUGCUAAUAAAAAACAGCGAGAAAAAUUGUUAGAAUUGAUCAGAAGACUCGCAGAAGACGAUAAAGAUGGAGUUAUGGCUCAUAAGGUGUUAACCCUUUUUUGGAAUCUGGCUCAUUCAGACGAAGUUCCCACUGAGAUAAUGGAUCAGGCAUUGAAUGCACAUGUUAAAAUUUUGGACUAUUCAUGUUCGCAAGAAAGAGAUGCACAAAAAACAAUCUGGUUAGAUAAAUGUGUGGAAGAAUUAAAAAGUGGGGACAAAUGGGCUUUACCUGCUCUGAAACAAAUCCGGGAGAUUUGUUUAUUAUACGAAGCAAAUUCUAAUCCAGCUCAUCAACGUAGCCAUAAUUUACAUUAUAGACAGGAUGUUAUAGAACGUUUACAGCAGGACCAUUUAGUUGUAGUACUUGUAACUAACAGUUUAACAAAUUAUAUGGACAAAGUGCGUCAAUUGGUAAAGGAGAAUCCAGAUCUUGAUCCAAAUACCUUUGUGCCUGAUGGUCGAUACAAUCAUAUUAUGCAAGUGCACGAAAGACUUAAUUUUUUGCGUUUUCUAUUAAGAGAUGGUCAGCUAUGGUUAUGUGCAGAACAAGCCAAUCAAAUCUGGCAAUGUUUAGCCGAACAAGGUGUGUUUGUCUCAGAUCGCGAGGCUUGUUUCAAAUGGUUUUCUAAACUUAUGGGAGAAGAACAGGAUCUUGACCCAGGAAUAACUGCGAACUUUUUUGAAAAUAAUAUACUGCGGUUAGAUCCAACGUUACUUACUGAAAGUGGUAUAAAGUGUUAUGAGAGAUUUUUUAAAACUGUUAAUUCUAAACAAGGAAAGUUGAUACUAAAGAAAAGAACAUUACUUAUGGAUGAUGUUGAUUUGAUUGGAACUGAUUAUUUGUGGCGGGUGGUAACAAAUAGUCCUGAAGAAAUCGCAAAUCGUGCUAUAGAACUUUUGAAAGAAGUAAACACUAAUUUAGGACCACGUCUGCAAUCAUCUGCACUAGAGUUUCAUGAUGAUUAUAUAGCAGAAUGUAUGGAUAGAUUAAAGACUCAUUAUGAUACUGUGUCUGCCUUAAGUAAGGUUUACCUUGGAAAGAAAGAAGAAAGGGAUGAGCAAAUGUCAAAUAAAAUUAAAGUAGAGGCUAUAAAAAUGUGUCGUGUAAUGAAAGUAUUGCAAGAGUACAUAAAUGAAUGUGACACUGCAUUUCCAGAAGAACGAAAAAUAUUACCAUUACACAGAGCAGCUCGUGGAAAACAUUUAUCUCUUAUAAUUAGAUUUCCAAAUCAUAUUCGUAAUACGGAUGAUAUAGAGAUAUAUACACACAGCAACGAUACAUUGGCUUCAUUAAAACGUCAAAUAUUACGUCGAUUGAAAGGGAGAGAGAUUGGGACAAAUGUGAAACUCGAUUUAUUCAUUAAUGGCGAAGGCUUGGAACAAGCGGAUGAUAGAAAAUUGUUAUCUCAAAUUCCACUUAGAGAUAAAAUGCUAUUAUCUGCCAGAUUAAGUCAGAUAAAUAGUAAUCUACCUAGUUCUCCAGAUAGCAGUUCAGAUAGUUCAACUAGUUCUCCGCAUCAUCCUUAUGAUGGGCCAAAUGUAGAGAACAGUUUACCUGGAGUGGUUAUGUCACAGAGACCACAGUGUGUGAAUUUUUUCUUCCAAUUAGCAGAUCUUGGUUGUACAUUGCAACAUGCUCAGUUACGCGAUGGUGCUCGAAAUCUUUUGCAAUUAGUACCACCUGAUAAUUUGACAGUAUCAAGAUUACAAUGGCUUUUUGGCCAUUAUGAAGAUGAUGAAACUUCACAGAAUCCUCAUUGUAACGAACACAACACAACAGUAGAUUCUUUAUUUUUUACUGCAAGUCCUAGUGAAGUUUUAUAUAAUUUAGAGGUGUUAUAUGCAUUGUUGAUGCCAGCUCCUGAUCCUCUCUCUGAUAGACCAUUUAAGUUUCAAUUUAAUUUUAUUAAAAGUGGCGAAGUAGGAGUUGUACUUGAUAUGUUAACAAAAAAUAAAUUUUUGCCAAAUGCAGACGAGACUACUAAACGAUCUGCCUAUUUGACAGUGCUGAAACUCUGCAAAUUUUUACUAACAGUUGUUGGAAAUAUUAUGGUAUGUGUAUUAGAUAAAGUUCAAGCUGGACAUUCGGAAAAUCACAAUAAUCACAUACAAAAUAAUCAAGAUCCUGUAACUAUUUUAAAACAGGCUUUACAAAGCAUACCUAAUCAAACCACUGAAUAUAUGCUAAGAAAUGUUGCAGCACGUUUAGUAAAACCUUUGUCACUACGAAUGUUCUCUGGUGGAACUGAUUCUGAUAGGUGUCAUCAGCUUUUUAUGCUAGCUCUUUCACGAGAUUUACCUGAUGUGGCCACUAUUCGUGCCAUAAUUAGAUUAGCGUGGGCUGCAUCAACUGGAAAUUUGAAUAAUAUUAAUGCAUCCAUUGAAAGUCUUCAUACAAUGCAUGAACUAAAUCAGAAGGAACAAAGAUGUCCUGAUAAUAAUGAUGUAUUAGUUUGUAAAGAAGCGUUGGAAGUCUUGACAAUAGCUUUAGCGCUUAAUUCGGCGGCAUUCGAUGUUCUAUUGAGAGAAAAAAUGUGGCAUAUGUUUUUAAUAGACCUUAUAUUACUGAGUACAUCGAGAGCAAUUAGAAUUGUGGCAGCAGAACAAUUUUUCCUUGUGUCGACAUGGUGCCGUAGUGUAAAUCCACCAGUGUUAUUUACUAUUACAUUACUCUUUACUGUUUUAAAUACUACAGUUAUGGAAAAUUCAAAACAGUGUCAUGAGUAUUUUCAGCUCUUAUGUAGACUGUUAAAUUAUGCACAUAUAUCAGGAUGUUCUGUCUCAACUAUAGAAAACUUACUAAAUAUUGAGAUAACUUGGUUGAAACAAGUGAGAGAUAGUGUUAAGGAAUCAGGGGAAAGUCAUGUGGACGAGGCAGUUCUCGAAGGUCACCUUAGUCUUACUAAGGAAUUAGUAGCCUUCUUGCCUGCUAGUAAAAAGUAUGAAAUUGGAUCUGACGAGAAACAUGGAAUAAAUUUGAUAAAGGAAUUAGUAGAAGAUUUCGUCUUCCCUGCAUCACGUCUAAUGUUGCAACUUCGUAGUACCGGAGAAUUAAGUUCAUCGCAAGCUUGUCCAGUGUGUACUACUCCGCAGUCAACUAGCGCAGCAUUCGACUUACUUGUAGGUCUUUGUACAGGCUGUGUACCCAACAUGAAACUUCUAGUCACGAUGCUCACUGACAUGUUUUAUUCGGAAAGAGAUGAGCCAUUAAUUGAAUGGGACUAUUUACCACCAGUUGGGCUUAGGCCACUUAAAGGCUUCGUAGGUUUGAAGAAUGCAGGAGCUACAUGUUAUAUGAACUCAGUAUUACAACAAUUAUACAUGGUUGAAAGUAUUAGAGUUGGACUAUUAGCUGCGGAAGGAGCAGCAACUGAUUUAAACGAAGAUUUUUCUGGGGAAGAAAGAAUCGAAGGAGAACAAACUAUAGAAGCAAACGAUAAUGACACCAAUGAAGAAAAGUGUGGAGUUGACGAAUCAAGGAAGGAAUAUAAUAUCGGCAUUUUAAAACAAGUGCAAGCAAUAUUUGGACAUUUGGCUUACAGCAAAUUACAAUAUUACAUACCAAGAGGUCUUUGGAAACAUUUUAAACUGCAGGGUGAACCUGUAAAUCUUAGGGAACAGCAAGAUGCAGUGGAGUUUUUUAUGAGCUUAGUGGAAAGCUUGGAUGAAGCUCUCAAAGCUUUGGGGCAUGAACAAAUAAUGAGUAAAAUUCUUGGUGGCUCAUAUAGUGAUCAAAAAAUCUGCAAAGGUUGCCCUCAUAGAUAUUCCAAAGAAGAACCAUUCAGUGUGAUUAGUGUGGAUAUAAGGAAUCAUAGUAAUCUAUUGGAUUCUCUUGAACAAUAUGUGAAAGGUGAACUAUUGGAAGGAGCCGAUGCUUAUCAUUGUGAUAAAUGCAACAAAAAAGUAGUAACAGUAAAGAGGUUAUGCGUGAAAAAACUGCCACCUAUUUUAGCGAUACAGCUAAAAAGGUUUGAAUAUGACUAUGAACGAGUUUGUGCUAUUAAAUUUAAUGAUUAUUUCGAGUUCCCAAGAGAUCUUGAUAUGGAACCGUAUACAGUCUCUGGCUUAGCUAAGUUGGAAGGAGAAGUCAUAGAUUGCGAUUAUGAGGAAUCUAUAAAAGGAACUUGUACAAAAUAUCAAUUAACUGGCAUUGUAGUACAUAGUGGCCAGGCUAGUGGUGGUCAUUAUUAUUCUUAUAUUUUGCAUAGACAAACCGAUGGUACUGCUAAAUGGUAUAAAUUUGAUGACGGAGAUGUAACAGAAUGUAAAAUGGAAGAGGAAGAAGAAAUGAAAUCGCAAUGCUUUGGUGGUGAUUAUUUGGGUGAAGUGUUUGAUCAUAUAUCGAAGCGUGUCAGUUACCGUAAACAAAAACGAUGGUGGAAUGCGUAUAUGCUUUUUUAUACCAGAUUAGACAUAGAAGAAAAUUCUUUAAUGAAAAGUUUCAACGAAUUGUCAUUAUAUACUAAGCUAGGUGUAAUGAAAAUGCCACAAGCUAUCGAAUACAGUGUGAGGAAACAGAAUAUUAAGUUUAUGCAUAAUCGGAAUCAAUUUAGUGCAGAAUAUUUUCAAUUUAUAAAAAAAUUAGUCUCUUCUGAUAAUCAUAACAUUAACAGACAAUAUCUUAACGAAAAACCCAGCCCAGAAGCAGAGGAAUUGUCGAUGUUGGCAGUUCAAUUAGCGUCAAGAUUUUUAUUCUUCACUGGUUUUCAUACUAAGAAAACAUUACGUGGUGCAGCCACAGAGUGGAAUGAUAUUUUAUGUCAUCAUCUUUGUAAUAGUAAAGCAGUACGCUCCUGGUUCGCUCAUAAUGUUCUUCUGAAUCAUCCACACAGAUUUUGUGAAUAUCUUUUAAGUUGUCCUAGUACCGAAGUGAGAACAGCUUUCGUUAAAAUUGUCGUGUGUCUUGCACAUUUUUCAUUACACGAUAGCCCAUCAAUGUCUUCUAGUAUAAAUUCACCAAAUAUACUUGUAGAACCAACUGCAAAACUGAGCGAUCAUUUAAUGCAUGCGGUACUGUCGUUACUCCAAAGAGAAAUCUCCGAUCAUGGUCGCCAUCUUCCACAUUAUUUUUCAUUAUUUCACAUGUAUGCUAACUUAGGAUUGCAAGAGAAAAUGCAAUUGCUCACGCUUAACGUUCCAGUUACGUUCAUGUCAGUCGCGAUUGACGAAGGGCCUGGACCAGCGAUAAAAUAUCAAUAUCCUGAAUUGACAAAACUCCAUCAAGUUGUUAGUAUGUUGAUACGUUGUUGCGACGUAUCUUCGAGAAUAUCUUCGAAAGAACCACCUUUACCAAAUCCAUAUGGUGAUUCAUCGUGCCAGUCAGGCUAUCUUAUGCCUAUUCAACCACAAGCAGCUGAACUUCUUUUUGUUGAAAAUAGUUAUAUGAAAAAGUUGAUCGAAGAUGCUAAUGUUACCGAAGAUACUACCAAGUUAUUGCAGUUCUGUUGUUGGGAAAACUUCAGUUUAUCACGAACAGUAAUUAGCGAAUUACUUUUACAAAUAAGUUUCGUUUAUGCACACGAAUUAAGGCAUCAUACGGAUCUUCUUCUUGCUAUACUUCUUAUGGAAGAUAAUUGGCAGAAUAAUCGUAUUUGUACAGCACUUCAAGGUUUAUACGAAGAAAGAGAGGGAUUAUUUGAUAUAAUACAGAAAUAUAAAAAUCAACAACAGAAACGAGCAUACCAAUGUAUAAAGUGUAUGGUACAAUUGUUUAGCAAAUGUAGAGCUGCGCAUCGGUAUUUGUGUCAUUCAUCUGAAUUGAAAAGAAAAUGGAUGCAUGCGGUUGAAUGGCUUCACGAUGAGUUAGAUAAAAGACCAUAUCCACCAACAGCACCCUAUACACUACCAUAUAAUAAUUGGUCUCCUCCAGCACAAUCCAAUGAUUCAACGAACGGAUUUGGAUUAGAACGUAGUAACAGUGCUAAAAAGACUUUGGAGAAAGCAGUAGUUUAUUGUUCUGAAAUGGAACCAGAACUCGAAGAUACAAGGGAAGAUUGCGUAGAAGAAGCAGAAAAGUAUCAGUCUCAAACGAGAGAUUUAUUGCGAUCUGGUCGUAGUGUAGUUUGGGGAUCUGCGUCUAUAGGUUAUCCCGAAGUUUCUGUAAUACAACAAAUGCAAGAAGAUCAGCCACAGCCUGGACCGUCUCCAGUUCACACACCUCUUCUAGCACAUCAAAUUCGCAGUCCACAUAAUUGUGAGUCAUCCCAAAGUACAAGCCAGGAUCCAUAAUGAAUACUAAAUAUCGACCUCCUAUUGAGUUGCUGCCUCAGAGAAAUCAUGUCUCAAUCUUUUAAUUAUUACUGUGCCAGCAGCUUGGUGUUGAAUGGAAAACGAGAGGUUAAAAUCGUAAUCAAGGGACCAAGACACAGGGAAGUGCUCGAGGUACGAGAAAACGAUUACGGUUUAUGCUGCCUUUCUACGCGGAAAUAUUUAUAAAUAAAUAUUAUCUUAGCCCGUUUCUUUUUUAUCUUUUCUCUUUCUUCUUCAUUUUCUUUUAUUAUCAUUUUCCAUAAAAAUGUAAAAGAUAUUAUUGUCCGAGUAAUUGAAUUUUGAUCGAAAAUUGAAGAAACUUUGAUAAGUAUAUUACGCGGUUAAAAAAAGAAAAGAAAAGAAAAAAAAAGAAAGAUAAAAUAAAAAGAAAAAGAAAAAAAAUAUGUAUAAACCAAACGGGCUCUGUAUAAUAUUUUUUAUUAACUCUGAAUCCGAAGUGUUUGAAAUACUUUUUAGUAUUUAUUAAUAUUUACAAAGAAGUCGAAUUUUUGAAUUCAUUCAUUCGAGAAUCAACGAUAUAUUAUAAAAAUGAGAUAACGAGAGAAAUGACAUACUUACUAUAUAAACUUGGAAAACAAUCUCGAUUACGAAUGAAAUUAUGUAAAUAAAAUAAAAAUGGCCGAAAGUGAAGCUUUUCGAGAAUGCGUAAUUCGAUUUCGUAUUUUCUUCGAACGCUACGAUCUCGAAACUCGAAAACUACAUAUACAAAGUGUUUCAUUUUAAACGAUAUUACCAAAUAUCGCCGAUCAUAUUAGUUCUAUAAAGAAAUGUUACAAAUAGAAGUUGUUAAGUUUUGAGGGGAGAAAUUUAAUAUUUAUUGCAGUUAUUUUCAGAUUGCUGUAUAUUAAUGGAAUUCAUAAUAAUUGUUUUUUAUAAUAAUUUUUUUUAUCUUGACAACAGCGUGCUUUAUGAAAUAGCUGUAAUAAAUAUAACAUUUUCUAUUUAAAACUUAGUUACUUUUGUAUGAAACAUUUGUUAAUAAAAUCAAUAGGAUCGGAGAUAUACCAUAUCGUUUAAAAUGAGACACUGUAUACCAUCACUUGGACGAUACUCGAAAUUGACCAACUGAUAAGCGUCUUCGUUGUUAUUCAUCCCUCGAUCAAAAGAUCGAGAUACGAAAAAACAAAAUACAAUGCAACGCGAAGAUAUUCGAUGACAUUCUAAUACACGAAUCGAUUUUAUUAAUAUUCGUUCGAAGAGAAAGAAGAUAAUUAUAAGCUCGUACUAUCUCGAACGAAGCAUUUAUGAAAGCAUUUUAUCGAAGCAAAUUAUACAUAAUUAAUAAUAAAAGCGAGAGAAAGAGAGAGAGAGAGAGAGAGAGAGAAAGAUAAGAAAAGAACAUUGAUAUCGACUAAAUCGUUUUCGUAAAGAAAAGAAAGAAAAUGGUACGUUUUUUGUACGAAAAUAAAUCUUGAUUCCUCUUUCUUCGUUUUGUUUCUCGUUCGAUGCAAGAUUUACUUUCGUAUAAAUAAUGUUUACAUAGGAUAUAGAAUAAUAAAAUAAGAGAAUGAGAAAGAAAGAAGAAAAUAAAAGAAUAGAAAAAAAAAAUGAUAAAGUCGAUCUAUGUAAGUACGUACAAUAUACAUACGCCUCGCUUUAGAUCGAUAGAUUGAUUGAUAAAUAGAUAGAUCAAUCGAGUUCAACUCUUGAACCCCGUCGUCGUUUCUUCGCGUUGAUUUCAAAAGCACCAAAUAAAGAGUAAAUAAAAUCGAUUGAUUUAAUUAAUAAUCGAGAAUGUAUAUUAUCGAACUUAAGCGACUCUGUCGAGCGGCGUAAAAAUAAAGAUACUAUAUACAAUACAUGAAAUUUUAUGUAUAAAAAAAAAAAAAAAAAGAAAAAGAGAGAAUGAAGAGAAAAAAAAGAAACGAAAAGAUAACGAAAGUCGGAGCGAUGGUGUCUUCGAUUCCGAAUAUCGCGAUACAUUCGAGAAUCGAAAGUGCUCCAUCAUCAUCGACGAGUCUCUCGAAUUUUUUUGUGUAUUAUUUUUAACGGAAUGUAAUAAAGUACUGUUUAAAAGGAA